rnacentral:rRNA from 1 species
UACAGAGGUCUCAAGCGUUGUUCGGAUUCAUUGGGCGUAAAGGGUGUGUAGGUGGCGCGCUAAGUCGGGUGUGAAAUCUCGGAGCUUAACUCCGAAACUGCAUUUGAUACUGGCGUGCUUGAGGACUGGAGAGGAGACUGGAAUUCAUGGUGUAGCAGUGAAAUGCGCAGAUAUCAGGAGGAACACCGGUGGCGAAGGCGGUUCUCUGGGCCUGUACUGACGCUGAGGAGCGAAAGCGUGGGGAGCGAACAGG